rnacentral:rRNA from 1 species
CUGCGGAGGGAUCAUUACCGAGUGUAAAAACUCCCAAACCAUUGUGAACCUACCACUGUUGCUUCGGCGGCCUCGCCCCGGGCGCGUUCGCGCGGCCCGGACCCAGGCGUCCGCCGGAGGCUCCAAACUCUUGUCUUUUAGUGUAUUUCUGAGUGGCAUAAGCAAAUAAAUCAAAACUUUCAGCAACGGAUCUCUUGGUUCUGGCAUCGAUGAAGAACGCAGCAAAAUGCGAUAAGUAAUGUGAAUUGCAGAAUUCAGUGAAUCAUCGAAUCUUUGAACGCACAUUGCGCCCGCCAGUAUUCUGGCGGGCAUGCCUGUCUGAGCGUCAUUUCAACCCUCAGGACCCGUUCGCGGGACCUGGCGUUGGGGAUCAGCCUGCCCCUGGCGGCGGCUGGCCCUGAAAUCCAGUGGCGGUUCCCUCGCGAACUCCUCCGUGCAGUAAUUAAACCUCUCGCGGCAGGAUAGCGGUUGAACCACGCCGUUAAACCCCCCACUUCUCAAGGUUGACCUCAGAUCAGGUAGGAAUACCCGCUGAACUUAAGCAUAUCAAUAAGCC